UCCGAAGCAGUGGCUGCCUUCGCUGCGCCCUCUUGGGUUCCUUGCCCUUGGUCCUCCGUCUGGGACAACAUGUCCCAGAAUUCCGGGAGAUAGGUGUCGUCCACCUCAUCCGGGCUGGCCAUCUCCUCCCCUCCUCCUUGGUAGGCCACCACGCUGGGGUUCUUUUUAGAGAGAACUGGCUUGCCUGGCCCGGGGGCAUGCUUGUCACAGCUGGGGCCUGCCUCUUCUUCUGGGUCUGCAAUAAUAUCUCCACAGCCUGUAAGAGAGUCAAAGCUUUUCAGUGAAGUCACGUCAGAAAACAUCAAACAAAUACGAUCUGCCGACGGGUCUGAGGGUGGAUCAACAGAGGAAGGGUCAGGGACAGCAGACGCCCGGCCGCUGCCACCUUCGGAGUCGACAAGGGGGACGGUCUUUAUCGGAACGUCACCUGUCCUGGACGCAUCCUCGGCCGCCUGGACCUCACCGGCUCCCGACUCGAGGGCUGCCCCGGGCUUCUCCGCGCGCCGAUGCCCCUCGGCGUCCUCUCCCCGGGAGCUUUGAUCGCCAGGGCCGGUGGGGCUCGCGGCCUCGAGGCAGGUCCGCUCCGGGGCGCGCUCGGCGGACGCGGGCGCCUGCUCUCCCCCUGCGGGCUCACCUGCUGCUUGUCGCGGGGCGUCCUGGCCCGGGCUGUCCGGACGGCGCGCGGCUCGGGGCGGCUCCUCCUUGACGCACUCCAGGCUGGCGGUGAGCGAGCCGGGCAGGACCAGGCUGCCCGGGCCCGCCGCGCGCGCCGCCUUCUCCUCCUCCUCCUUGCCGCGCUUGUCCCUCCGGUGCCAGCGCAUGCUGCUGAAGAUCCCUUUCAACCCCCUCUUUUGUUUGCCGCCAGCCUUGCUUGCCUCGGCUUGGUCUCCCUUGCCGGUCUCUGAUCGCCCGUUCUUUUUCAGCAGGGAGAAGAAGCUGUGGGACUUGGCCACCGAGCUACUGGCCAGGGAGCCCAGGCCAGGCCCGGAGGCUUUGGGGGGUCCGGGGAUCGGCCGGGCCCCGCUGUGAUCGCUCCCGCCCGGCGGCUCCUCCUUCUUGCUGCCCUCUAGCACCAGCACCUCGGCUAGUCCGUCGUGGGUCCUGCUUCUCACCAUCCCCGCCGGCCCCGAGCUCUUCCCAUCCCCUUUGUUUUUGACCCCAAAAAUGCUAGGCAUGGUGCCCCCCGAUUUCCUCUUCUUGAAUAACUUGAACGCAGCCUUAUUGAUCUUCCCCGACGGCGGCUCUGCGGCGGGCGUCUCCGCGGCGCACUCACAAUGCGAGUCCAUGUCUGCAGCGAGGGCCCCGGCCUGCUCCUGCCUCCUGCAGACCCCCGCGCGCGCGCCGCCGCGCUCGCUGACAGCCGCGCCGCCGCCGCCGCGGCUCCAGCCUGUCUCCAUGGAAACCGAGAGGGAUCAGCCGCUGUCGUCAGCCGGAGGCUCGCGCCAGGCCACUGUCACCCUCGUUCUAAAUCAACCUGAGCGGCUCGCGCUGCUGCGCGGUGGCUACUGCGGCGGCUGAAGCGCACAGACCGGACUAUCUCCCCUCCUGCCAAGGGCUUAUAUAAUAUCCUGGGAGCCACAUAGGUUUUUGUGUAGCAAGAGUCUUCAUCAUAGUUUCAAGGCGAAAGAGAAAAAAAAAAAUGAAAUUCGUAAUUAUGGGCUUUGGAUCCCAGUGCGUCGAUUCUCACCACCUCAGGUUCUUCCUCUAGCUCAGCUUUUCCUGGGAUCCCAGUUUCAGACAUUAAUAUACAAGCUCCCCCAUGUCCACAAAGAACAAUGCCUUUUCCUUUAUCAUCUGUUUCAGACUUCAUGCAACCUCCUGCCUUUCUUGGGUCCUUCACAUAGGUCUUAGCGUGUGGGCACUAAGCCCAAGAGGCACCAUGCCAGUCUGUUCACGCCUGCGUCCGGUCCAGUGCUGAGUGAGGUCUUCAGGUUGAUGCUGGAUUCUGAUCAUGUGGCUCUGAUUUCCUGUUACAGAAGCAACAGCCGUCAGUCAAAUACUAAUUAGCAGCUCUCAGCCACGAAAGUGCAACCGUUCCCUGGGGUUCACUGGUCCUUUGGGAGAACUUGAAGCUUCUAUCCCACACCCCAGUGACACGGAGCUUAAGUCACAGAAGCCACCGUCCAGCUUCCAAUUGGUCACAAUAGACUGAGCACACUGAGAACUUAGCGUGGAGAGUUCUGGUCCCUCUGCAGAUUCAGAGUUCCUUACAUACUGCACUUAUAUUGAACUGCAUGCAGAUUCAGUUGUUGGCCAAGGCAGCCUCCAUGGUUCACAGUUAGGCCGUGGAGCUGAGUGGUUACAUAGCUCUUUCUCAUCUCGAUGAAGAAAACAAAAACAAAAACAAAAAAACUGCUCUAAACUGAGACUGGAUUCCGAGGACCUUUUAUGCUUUCAGAGUUCAAACCCCAUCAGCUCUCUCCACCUAUUAACAGGACUCUUAUGAACAGAAUAUACAACAGGCUUUUAUAAAAAUGAUUUUUCUUUUCAAA